AAAGAUUAAGCCAUGCAUGUCUAAGUAUAAGCAAUCUAUACAGUGAAACUGCGAAUGGCUCAUUAAAUCAGUUAUCGUUUAUUUGAUAGUACCUUACUACUUGGAUAACCGUGGUAAUUCUAGAGCUAAUACAUGCUAAAAACCUCGACUUCGGAAGGGGUGUAUUUAUUAGAUAAAAAACCAAUGCCCUUCGGGGCUCCUUGGUGAUUCAUGAUAACUUAACGAAUCGCAUGGCCUUGUGCCGGCGAUGGUUCAUUCAAAUUUCUGCCCUAUCAACUUUCGAUGGUAGGAUAGUGGCCUACCAUGGUUU
rnacentral:rRNA from 1 species